rnacentral:rRNA from 1 species
AGGGAAAGUUGAAAUAGAACUUUGCAGAGAGAGUUAACAGGGCGUGAAACCGUUAAUUGGCAAACGAAUCGGAGCCACGAAGUCGUUUCGCUGGUCAAUCCAAGUUCAGUUUGGGAUAGCAAUAUCUCGGGCGUAUUCUUGUUGGUUGGCCAUUGUAAGCGUACACUGCAACCAGUUAGACAAUUGGCGAUGGGCCAAGUUGGGUAGAAGCCUCGGUGACUACUUAACGAAGUGCUUGUUUGCUCUAACUAGUAGUGAUAUUGUGUUUCUUCGGGAACAUGGUGUUGCUGGGUUAGAGUAAGUGAACUAUCACCAAAUACUGACUGGCACAAUGAAACUUGCUCUUAUGAGCGUGAUACACAAUGCGGCUACUCGUGUCUAAUGUCUACACAGUCAACCGUAGGGUUUAAGUUCGGCAUUUUUGAAUUUGGGCUUGCUUUCUACCAGUGGGGCAACUCCUGGUGUUGGUAUUGUCACCAUCUAAUCGGGUGUCGACUUGAUUUUGCGUUGUUUGGAUGUGCUACGAUUGGAUGUUAGAUCGAAGUGGUUU